rnacentral:rRNA from 1 species
CGUGUAGGCGGUUAGUUAAGUCUGGCGUGAAAGCUCUCGGCUAAACCGGGAGAGGUCGUUGGAUACUGGCUGACUAGAGGAUGGUAGAGGCGUGUGGAAUUCCGGGUGUAGUGGUGAAAUGCGUAGAGAUCCGGAGGAACACCAGUGGCGAAGGCGACACGCUGGGCCGUACCUGACGCUAAAGCGCGACAGCAUGGGGAGCAAACG